rnacentral:misc_RNA from 1 species
AAGAGUUAUGCAACUCUCACACACCAUUGUGAACCUUACCUAUAUCGUUUCCUCGGCGGGCGGCGGCAUAGCCGCCCCUCGACUAGCUCGCCUCUUAUUGGAGGCAGGGUUGGGCCCGCCGGAGGCGUACUAACUCUUGGUUUUCGGUUGGCCUCUCUGAGUCGUACUUAUAAUAAGUUA